GAACGGCAGCACGGGGGCAACCCUGGUGGCGAGUGGCGAACGGGUGAGUAAUACAUCGGAACGUGUCCUGUAGUGGGGGAUAGCCCGGCGAAAGCCGGAUUAAUACCGCAUACGCUCUACGGAGGAAAGGGGGGGAUCUCAGGACCUCCCGCUACAGGGGCGGCCGAUGGCAGAUUAGCUAGUUGGUGGGGUAAAGGCCUACCAAGGCGACGAUCUGUAGCUGGUCUGAGAGGACGACCAGCCACACUGGGACUGAGACACGGCCCAGACUCCUACGGGAGGCAGCAGUGGGGAAUUUUGGACAAUGGGCGAAAGCCUGAUCCAGCAAUGCCGCGUGUGUGAAGAAGGCCUUCGGGUUGUAAAGCACUUUUGUCCGGAAAGAAAACCUCCGCCCUAAUAUGGUGGGGGGAUGACGGUACCGGAAGAAUAAGCACCGGCUAACUACGUGCCAGCAGCCGCGGUAAUACGUAGGGUGCAAGCGUUAAUCGGAAUUACUGGGCGUAAAGCGUGCGCAGGCGGUCCGCUAAGACAGAUGUGAAAUCCCCGGGCUUAACCUGGGAACUGCAUUUGUGACUGGCGGGCUAGAGUAUGGCAGAGGGGGGUAGAAUUCCACGUGUAGCAGUGAAAUGCGUAGAGAUGUGGAGGAAUACCGAUGGCGAAGGCAGCCCCCUGGGCCAAUACUGACGCUCAUGCACGAAAGCGUGGGGAGCAAACAGGAUUAGAUACCCUGGUAGUCCACGCCCUAAACGAUGUCAACUAGUUGUUGGGGAUUCAUUUCCUUAGUAACGUAGCUAACGCGUGAAGUUGACCGCCUGGGGAGUACGGUCGCAAGAUUAAAACUCAAAGGAAUUGACGGGGACCCGCACAAGCGGUGGAUGAUGUGGAUUAAUUCGAUGCAACGCGAAAAACCUUACCUACCCUUGACAUGUAUGGAACCCUGCUGAGAGGUGGGGGUGCCCGAAAGGGAGCCAUAACACAGGUGCUGCAUGGCUGUCGUCAGCUC
rnacentral:rRNA from 1 species